GUACACACGGAUAACAUACCGAAAGGUAUGCUAAUACGAGAUAAAAUGUAAUGAUCGCAUGGUCGAUACAUCAAAGCUCCGGCGGUACAGGAUGGACCCGCGUCUGAUUAGCUAGUUGGUGAGGUAAUGGCUCACCAAGGCGACGAUCAGUAGCCGACCUGAGAGGGUGAUCGGCCACAUUGGAACUGAGACACGGUCCGAACUCAUACGGGAGGCAGCAGUAGGGAAUAUUAGAAAUGGACGAAAGUCUGAUCUAGCGACACCGCGUGUGCGAAGAAGGCCUUCGGGUUGUAAAGCACUUUUUGGAAGGAAUAGGAAGGAAGGUACUUCCAGAAUAAGUCUCGGCUAACUACGUGCCAGCAGCCGCGGUAACACGUAGGAGGCAAACGUUAUCCGGGGUGUACUGGGCGUAAAGCGCGUGUAGGUGGUUCUGUAAGUAGGGCGUGAAAGCUCCCGGCUCAACUGGGAGAGGCCGUUCUAAACUGCAGAGCUAGAGAUGGUAGAGGAGGUGGAUUUCCAGGUGUAGCGGUGGAAUGCGC
rnacentral:rRNA from 1 species